GACGAACGCUGGCGGCGUGCCUAAUACAUGCAAGUAGAACGCAGUUGCGAACGGGUGAGUAACGCGUAGGUAACUGCCAGGUAGAGGGGGAUAACUAUUGGAAACGAUAGCUAAUACCGCAUACUCCCAGAUGGACCGGUGUUGUAUUAGCUAGUUGGUGAGGUCACGGCUCACCAAGGCAACGAUACAUAGCCGACCUGGUGGGGUGAUCGGCCACAAGGGGACUGAGACACGGCCCAGAGUCCUACGGGCGGCAGCAGGAGGGAAUCUUCGGCAAUGGGGCGAACCCUUACCGAGCAACGCCGCGUGAGUGAAUAAGGUUGUCGGAUCGUAAAGCUCUUUUGUUAAGGAAGCGGUACUUAACCAGAAAGGGACGGCUAACUACGUGCCAGCAGCCGCGGUAAUAC
rnacentral:rRNA from 1 species